rnacentral:misc_RNA from 1 species
GAUGAAGAACGCAGCGAAAUGCGAUAAGUAAUGUGAAUUGCAGAAUUCAGUGAAUCAUCGAAUCUUUGAACACACCUUGCGCCCUUUGGCUAUUCCGAAGGGCAUGCCUGUUUGAGUAUCAUGAACACCUCAACUCUCAUGGCUUGCCAUGAUGAGCUUGGACUUUUGGGGGUCUUGCUGGCCUGUGGUCAGCUCCUCUCAAAUGAAUUAGCCUGCCAGUGUUUGGUGGCAUCACAGGUGUGAUAACUAUCUACGCUUGUGGUUUUCCACCAGGUAACCUUCAGUGAUGAAGGUUCGCUGGGGCUCAUAAACGUCUCUCCUCAGUGAGGACAGCUCUUUGAACGUUUGAUCUCAAAUCAGGUAGGACUACCCGCUGAACUUAAGCAUAUCAAUAAGCGGAGGA